rnacentral:misc_RNA from 1 species
UGUGACCGAUAAACCUCACCAGUUAUCUCAGAUGCCACUGCAUUCGAUCAUACCUGAUGAACAUUACAAGGCAUCUCCAAUGCCUUCUCAGUCGACUUUAACGGAGGAACCACUUGGGUUGUGGCAGACUGAUGUUCUUGAUCCUCAAAAAUCAUCCUCGAGUGCUGAAGUAGAGGGAGACACAAAGCCCAGUGAUGUUUCAGUAAACCAACGGAAAACACGCUCAGAAAUAGAACCUCUGGCAUCUUCAACUGUUAACCAAGGAGAUGAAGGUUCAGAUAUCCGGGCC